GCCAGGUGUGGUGGUGCAUGCCUGUAAUUCUAGCUGCUGGGAGGCUGAGACAAGAGAAUCUCGAGUUCAAAGUCAGCCUCAGCAAAAACAAGUCAUUGAGCAACUCAGUGAGACCCUGUCUCUA
rnacentral:sRNA from 1 species